CUCGCUCUCGCGGCGAGGCCCGCCAGAGGACCCAAACAAACUCUUUGACUUUGAUCUAGGAUUAUACUUCUGAGUGAUACAAAAAAUAAAAUCAAAACUUUCAACAACGGAUCUCUUGGUUCUGGCAUCGAUGAAGAACGCAGCGAAAUGCGAUAAGUAAUGUGAAUUGCAGAAUUCAGUGAACCAUCGAAUCUUUGAACGCACAUUGCGCCCGCCAGUAUUCUGGCGGGCAUGCCUGUUCGAGCGUCAUUUCAACCCUCAAGCUCCGGCUUGGUGUUGGGGAUCGGCAGCCCGGCUUCGCGCCGACGCCGUCCCCCAAAUGCAGUGGCGGUCACGCUGCAGCCUCCUAUGCGUAGUAGCACACCUCGCACUGGAGAGCAGCGCGGCCACGCCGUAAAACCCCCUACUUUUUGUGGUUGACCUCGA
rnacentral:rRNA from 1 species